rnacentral:lncRNA from 1 species
CUAAAUUUUGAAAUGGUUUCAACAGUAACCGUAUGUUGUUAUGCUCUUUGACAUUUGUCGUAGAGAUAAGGUUAUUAAGAAAAUUGGGAAUGUAAUAAUUUGUCAUAUAGUCAAUGCUUGUCUGGAUUUCCUGAAUCAGAAACGAAUUGAACUAAACUUUUGUUCUAUCUGUCCUCUCUUGAGGUUAUCAUGGAAGGUGAUGUCAGAUUGUGUCUUAAUGCAUGGUAGGAAUAAUUUGACCACAAACAGUGUGUGUGAGCCUCAAAACCCUCCCUAACCGGCUGAAGAAAGAGCGACAGAGGCGUUCAAUGCGAUAGUAACAACACUCCUGUCUGAGUCCGACUCAUUAACCUGGGUACGGGCGGAAGGACUGCGCCAUGAGUCCUGAGACCGCGCAUGUGGAGUGAGCAUGGAGAGAUAACAUUCAAACUUCCCUCAAGCUCCUGGUGUACUGGUGGGAGAAAUGGACCAGACAGAAUGGUGGUAGCAGCUCAGUGUGUAUAUUCCCAGGUGAAAGCGGCACAUGAGGAGCAGGAGAUAACCGAGAGAACGGGCUGAAUUCUGGAGAUUGAGUGUACAUCAAGAUACACCUGGAGGGGGUGUUGGGACAGCGUUGGUCUGGUCUACACACAGUACUCCUUACAGCACCUGCAGUGGUAAAGAUCGUCUCUCCUCGGUGGGUUCACCCUUCUCACGUGAAGUGAGGUCCAGCUGCAUAAUGGGUGAGCUUGAAGACGCAGUGACAGAGGAAGCGGAGCUAAAGAGAGAGAGAAAGAGUAGAUUCCACUAUAGACAUGCAGAUGGGUUGGGUCUUGGAGCUACUUUAACCACCAUAGUUGGGUUGGGUUAGUUGCUUUAUUGGUUAAUGCAUCAGAUGAAAGGAUAGAUGUUGGGGUAAUUGUACUCUGGACAACAUUCUGGAGGCAUUGAUGUGAAAGCAUAUACAGUGCUGGGUUACCUCAAGAGGAUGUAGCGUUGAUUAGGGAUACGCAUUCGCCUAUCAGGUGACGUGCCUAUCAGGUGGCAAUGGAGGAGGAAAGAGAUGAGGAACAAAGUGAAAAUGACAUGGCUUGGGAACACCUCUUGGAUCCUGUGGUCUGACGGGGAAGACUGGGCGAAAGCAUGAGGAGGG